rnacentral:rRNA from 1 species
UACGUAGGUGGCAAGCGUUGUCCGGAUUCACUGGGUGUAAAGGGCGCGUAGGCGGCGCCGCAAGUCGACUGUGAAAUCUCCGGGCUUAACCCGGAAAGGUCAGCCGAUACUGCGGGGCUAGAGUGCAGAAGGGGCAACUGGAAUUCUCGGUGUAGCGGUGAAAUGCGUAGAUAUCGAGAGGAACACCUGCGGCGAAGGCGGGUUGCUGGGCUGACACUGACGCUGAUGCGCGAAAGCUAGGGGAGCGAACGGG